rnacentral:rRNA from 1 species
AGAGUUUGAUUUUGGCUCAGGAUGAACGCUGGCGGCGUGCCUAACACAUGCAAGUCGAGCGAAGCGCUUUUCUUAGAUUCUUCGGAUGAAGAGGAUUGUGACUGAGCGGCGGACGGGUGAGUAACGCGUGGGUAACCUGCCUCAUACAGGGGGAUAACAGUUAGAAAUGACUGCUAAUACCGCAUAAGACCACAGCACCGCAUGGUGCAGGGGUAAAAACUCCGGUGGUAUGAGAUGGACCCGCGUCUGAUUAGCUAGUUGGUAAGGUAACGGCUUACCAAGGCGACGAUCAGUAGCCGACCUGAGAGGGUGACCGGCCACAUUGGGACUGAGACACGGCCCAAACUCCUACGGGAGGCAGCAGUGGGGAAUAUUGCACAAUGGGGGAAACCCUUAUGCAGCGACGCCGCGUGAGCGAAGAAGUAUUUCGGUAUGUAAAGCUCUAUCAGCAGGGAAGAAUUAGGACGGUACCUGACUAAGAAGCACCGGCUAAAUACGUGCCAGCAGCCGCGGUAAUACGUAUGGUGCAAGCGUUAUCCGGAUUUACUGGGUGUAAAGGGAGCGUAGACGGAUGGGCAAGUCUGAUGUGAAAACCCGGGGCUCAACCCCGGGACUGCAUUGGAAACUGUUCAUCUAGAGUGCUGGAGAGGUAAGUGGAAUUCCUAGUGUAGCGGUGAAAUGCGUAGAUAUUAGGAGGAACACCAGUGGCGAAGGCGGCUUACUGGACAGUAACUGACGUUGAGGCUCGAAAGCGUGGGGAGCAAACAAGAUUAGAUACCCUGGUAGUCCACGCCGUAAACGA